GCAAGUCGAACGAGAACGGUACUAGCUUGCUAGUAUGUCAGCUAAGUGGCGGACGGGUGAGUAAUGUAUAGUUAAUUUGCCCCUUAGAGAGGGAUAACAGUUGGAAACGACUGCUAAUACCUCAUACUCCUUUUAUAUUAAUUAUAAUUGGGAAAUGUUUUUUCGCUAAGGGAUAAGACUAUAUGGUAUCAGGUAGUUGGUGGGGUAAGAGCCUACCAAGCCAAUGACGCCUAGCUGGUCUGAGAGGAUGAUC
rnacentral:rRNA from 1 species